AGUAAAGUCAGCUAACACAAGCUCCUGGGCCCAUACCCCAGCAAUGCAGGUGAAACCCCUGCCUUUACUA
rnacentral:tRNA from 1 species